CUGCUGCCUUCCGUAGGAGUUUGGGCCGUGUCUCAGUCCCAAUGUGGCCGUCCACCCUCUCAGGCCGGCUACUGAUCGCUGCCUUGGUGGGCGUUACCCCGCCAACUAGCUAAUCAGACGCGGAUCCAUCGUAUACCACCGGAGUUUUUCACACUGCCCCAUGCGGAGCCGUGCGCUUAUGCGGUAUUAGCACCUAUUUCUAAGUGUUAUCCCCCGGUAUACGGCAGGUUAUCCACGCGUUACUCACCCGUCCGCCA
rnacentral:rRNA from 1 species